UGAUGUGAGGGCAAUCUGGCUGCGGCAUCUGUCACCCCAUUGAUCACCAGGGUUGAUUUGGCUGAUCUGACUGGUUAGGCGGGUGUCCCCUUCCUCCCUCCAUAUGCGUCCCUCCCAAAGCUGCAUGCUCAGUCAAAGAGGAUGACUAUCCCCGAUAGAGGAGGACUAGUCUUCAGUCAAGGGCACUCUCUGGAGAACCAGAGAGUACCUCCACUCCCGUGCUAGAACCUCCAAACAAACUAUCUAUCAUCUAUCUAUCUAU
rnacentral:sRNA from 1 species